GCCCGUGUAGGCCAAUUGGUAGAGCCGUCUCGCUCAAGACGAGAACAGUGUGCGUUCGAAUCGCACCUCGGGCACCA
rnacentral:tRNA from 1 species